CCUACGGGAGGCAGCAGUGAGGAAUAUUGGUCAAUGGACGAGAGUCUGAACCAGCCAAGUAGCGUGAAGGAUGACUGCCCUAUGGGUUGUAAACUUCUUUUGUCAAGGGACAAAAUCAGGCUCGAGAGCCUGACCGAGGGUACUUGAAGAAAAAGCAUCGGCUAACUCCGUGCCAGCAGCCGCGGUAAUACGGAGGAUGCGAGCGUUAUCCGGAUUUAUUGGGUUUAAGGGGUGCGUAGGCGGACUGUUAAGUCAGCGGUAAAAGCCCGGGGCUCAACCCCGGAGAGCCGUUGAAACUGGCUGUCUUGAGAUGUCGAGAGGUAUGCGGAAUGCGCAGUGUAGCGGUGAAAUGCUUAGAUAUUGCGCAGAACUCCGAUUGCGAAGGCAGUUCACUGGACUGCAACUGACACUGAGGCUCGAAAGUGUGGGUAUCAAACAGGAUUAGAUACCCGGGUAGUC
rnacentral:rRNA from 1 species